AUUGAACGCUGGCGGCGCGCUUAACACAUGCAAGUCGAACGGUAACAGGUCUUUCGGGAUGCUGACGAGUGGCGGACGGGUGAGUAAAGCGUAGGAAUCUGCCUAUUGGAGUGGGAUAGCCUAGGGAAACUUAGGGUAAUACCGCGUAAGCCCGAGAGGGGAAAGCUGGGGACUGUAAGAGGCCUGGUGCCGAUAGAUGAGCCUACGUCGGAUUAGCUAGUUGGUGGGGUAAAGGCUUACCAAGGCGAUGAUCCGUAACUGGUUUGAGAGAACGACCAGGCACACUGGGACUGAGAAACGGCCCAGACUCCUACGGGAGGCAGCAGUGGGGAAUAUUGGACAAUGGGGGCAACCCUGAUCCAGCGAUGCCGCGUGUGUGAAGAAGGCCUGCGGGUUGUAAAGCACUUUCGGUGGGGAGGAGAGGCUUCUGGUGAAUAACUGGGAGAAGAGACGUUACCCACAGAAGAAGCACCGGCUAACUCUGUGCCAGCCGCCGCGGUAACAC
rnacentral:rRNA from 1 species